rnacentral:snRNA from 7 species
AUACAGGAGGAGAGAUAACAUGAUGGGGAAGGUGGUUUUCUCAGGAUGAGGUUCAUUCUUUGCAGGCAGGCUGUGCUGGCCCCUGCAGUUUCCCUAAAUACAGGAAGCUCAGCUGCAUAAUUCAUGAAAGUAUUCGUAAUG